rnacentral:rRNA from 1 species
UACGGAGGGUGCAAGCGUUAUCCGGAUUCACUGGGUUUAAAGGGUGCGUAGGCGGGUUGGUAAGUCAGUGGUGAAAUCUUCAAGCUUAACUUGGAAACUGCCGUUGAUACUAUCAAUCUUGAAUGUUGUGGAGGUAAGCGGAAUAUGUCAUGUAGCGGUGAAAUGCUUAGAUAUGACAUAGAACACCGAUAGCGAAGGCAGCUUGCUACACAAUAAUUGACGCUGAUGCACGAAAGCUUGGGGAUCAAACAGG